rnacentral:rRNA from 1 species
CCUACGGGUGGCAGCAGUGGGGAAUAUUGGUCAAUGGGGGAAACCCUGAAGCAGCAACGCCGCGUGGAGGAUGAAGGUUUUAGGAUUGUAAACUCCUUUUGUUAGGGAAGAUUAUGACGGUAUCUGACGAAUAAUCACCGUCUCACUCCGUUCCAGCAGCCGCGGUUAUACGGAGGGUGCAAGCGUUACUCGGAAUCACUGGGCGUAAAGCGUGCGUAGGCGGGGUAAUAAGUCAGAGGUGGAAUCCUGUAGCUUAACCACAGAACUGCAUUUGAAACUGUUAGGCUGGAGUGUGGGAGAGGUAGGUGGAAGUCUUGGUGUAGGGGUAAAAUCCGUAGAGAUCAAGAGGAAUACUCAGUGCGAAGGCGACCUGCUGGAACAUGACUGACGCUGAUGCACGAAAGCGUGGGGAGCAAACAGGAUUAGAUACCCGUGUAGUC